GUGAGAAACAAAGGAAAGAAACCAAAAGCACCUUCCCCCCUCAUCCACCCUUUUCCACCUCCUCCCCCCGAGCGGUGCAGGGGAACGGGGGAAUGGGGGUUAUGGUCAGUCUACAGCGCUUCUUCUCUGCCACUCCUCAGUCACUCUCAUCCCCUGUGCUGUGGGGUCCCUCCCAAGGGAUACAGUCCUUGAUGAACUGAUCUGGCGUGGGCUUCCCACAGGCAGCAGCUCUUCCGGAGCUGCUCCAGAUAUGGGUCCGUUCCAUGGGGUCCAUCCCUCAGGAGAAAACUGCUCCAACCUGGGUCCCCUACAGGCACCAGCUCCUUCUAGGUCACCUGCUCCUGCGUGGGCUCCUCUCCACGGGCUACAGGUCCGGCCCGGAAUCUGCUCUGGCAGGCAUCUUCACAUGCGGCAGCAUCCGUCGGUGCAGGGCCACCUGCUCCACUGUGUUCUCCUCCACGGGCUGCAGAGUGGAACCCUGCUCCCCCGUGGUACUCCAUGGGCUGCAGGGGGACAUCCUGCUUCACCAUGGUCCUCACCACAGGCCGCAGGGAUCUUCUGCUCUGGCACCUGGAGCACCUCUCUCCCUCCUUCUGCACUGACCUUAGCACCUGCAAGGCUGUUCCUCACUCCUCUCACUCUCCCUGCUGCUGUGUGGUGCAGUGAUUUUUUCCCUGUCUUAAAUAUGCACUCACAGAGACACAAAACAACAUCACUUAUUGGCUCAGCUCUGGUCAGCAGUGGGGCCCUUACCAAACAUGGGGCAGCUUCUAGAUCCUUCUCACAGAAAGGAUCCUUAUGGCCCCCUGCUACCAAAACCUUGCCAUGUAAACCCACUACAAUGCUUAAGAACAUGAGAAGGGGAAGUUGGAAAGAAAGUUACAUGUCAAGAAUCUUGUCAAAGCUGUUUUUUGGGUACAAUUCAUUUCCCUUUCCAGACUCCAAUCAACGGGCAGAGAAGAAAGACAGGAAAGACUGUGUCCUGGUUUCAGUCAGAAUUAAUUUUCUUCCUAGUAGCUGGUGGAAUGCUGUGUUUUGGCUUAGGAUGAGAAGAGUGCUGAUAACACCCCAAUGCUUUAAUUGUUGCAGAGCAGUGCUUAUACUAAGCCAAGGACAUUUCAGCCUUUUGCUCUGUCCUGCCAAUGGGCAGGCUGGGGGUGCAAUAAGAGCUGGGAGGGGACAGACCCAGGACAUCUGACCCAAACUAGCCAAAGGGGUAUUCCAUACCAUCUGACGUCAUGCUNNNNNNNNNNNNNNNNNNNNNNNN
rnacentral:lncRNA from 1 species